rnacentral:rRNA from 2 species
CCUUGAAAUACCACCCUUUAAUGGCUGGUGUUCUAACGUAGACCCGUGAUCCGGGUUGCGGACAGUGUCUGGUGGGUAGUUUGACUGGGGCGGUCUCCUCCCAAAGAGUAACGGAGGAGCACGAAGGUUGGCUAAUCCUGGUCGGACAUCAGGAGGUUAGUGCAAUGGCAUAAGCCAGCUUGACUGCGAGCGUGACGGCGCGAGCAGGUGCGAAAGCAGGUCAUAGUGAUCCGGUGGUUCUGAAUGGAAGGGCCAUCGCUCAACGGAUAAAAGGUACUCCGGGGAUAACAGGCUGAUACCGCCCAAGAGUUCAUAUCGACGGCGGUGUUUGGCACCUCGAUGUCGGCUCAUCACAUCCUGGGGCUGAAGUAGGUCCCAAGGGUAUGGCUGUUCGCCAUUUAAAGUGGUACGCGAGCUGGGUUUAGAACGUCGUGAGACAGUUCGGUCCCUAUCUGCCGUGGGCGCUGGAGAAUUGAGGGGGGCUGCUCCUAGUACGAGAGGACCGGAGUGGACGCAUCACUGGUGUUCGGGUUGUCAUGCCAAUGGCACUGCCCGGUAGCUAAAUGCGGAAGAGAUAAGUGCUGAAAGCAUCUAAGCACGAAACUUGCCCCGAGAUGAGUUCUCCCUGAGACCUUGAGUCUCCUGAAGGAACGUUGAAGACGACGACGUUGAUAGGUCGGGUGUGUAAGCGCAGCGAUGCGUUGAGCUAACCGAUACUAAUGAACCGUGAGGCUUAACCUU